GACGAACGCUGGCGGCGUGCCUAAUACAUGCAAGUAGAACGCUGAAGGAGGAGCUUGCUUCUCUGGAUGAGUUGCGAACGGGUGAGUAACGCGUAGGUAACCUGCCUGGUAGCGGGGGAUAACUAUUGGAAACGAUAGCUAAUACCGCAUAAUAGUAGAUGUUGCAUGACAUUUGCUUAAAAGGUGCAAUUGCAUCACUACCAGAUGGACCUGCGUUGUAUUAGCUAGUUGGUGAGGUAACGGCUCACCAAGGCAACGAUACAUAGCCGACCUGAGAGGGUGAUCGGCCACAAUGGGAAUGAGACAAGGCCCAGACGCCUACGGGAGGCAGCAGUAGGGAAUCUUCGGCAAUGGACGGAAGUCUGACCGAGCAACGCCGCGUGAGGGAAGAAGGGUUUCGGAUCGUAAAGCUCUGUUGUAAGAGAAGAACGAGGGUGAGAGUGGAAAGUUCACACUGUGACGGUAUCUUACCAGAAAGGGACGGCUAACUACGUG
rnacentral:rRNA from 1 species